rnacentral:misc_RNA from 1 species
GACACGAACAUUAUAUAAAUAAAAGUAAUUCAUCAUCUUAAAACUCAUUAAACUCAUAUUUUUAAUUGGUAUCUCGCGAGAUAAAAAAUUAUAGGAUGGAAAAUCGCCAUAUUGGAAAAUGAGAAAAGUGAAAAUAUUUUGUCGGAAAAACUCUACUAUGUAUACAUAAACACUCUGUCAUUGACAUCUGAAGAAGAUUAGGCUUUUCAGCCACUGAUAUAUGAGGCAGACAUUAUUCAAAUUGAACUUCUUUGUCAGCUAUCAAAAGAUGUGAGGAUCUACUGUAUCAACAAUUGCCGUGUUUACGGCCUUCAAUUUGGCAGUUGAAUUUUAUACAGUGGGAUGAGGAAAAUAGAAGAUACACUAAUUUUAUAUUCGAGAUAGCAUUACUGCUUUCAAGAACAGUUUGUUGUUAGACAAUGAAAGCAUCAUAACAGCAACUAAAUUUAUUUGUACAUAGUAGAUAUAACAUUAGAUAUAUAAUACCAUAUGAAUGUUGUGACUUGUGACAUUGCAGCAGUAACUGUCGUUCUGAAUUAUGAUAUAGUGCAGCUGUUGUCGUAGCAAAAAGGAUAUUAUAGUGGUAAUUUGUAAAUGUAAAUAAUAUAGUACAGUGCACUCUAUAGCGAAAUACCAUAGUACGAUCUAAGCCGGACACAGUUAUAUUUUUGUAUUAAAAAACAUUGCAUUUUACUGCCAUAAAACUUGCAGACAAAAGUGAGACGCAACAGGAUUAUCUCUUGAACAGUUAAAUUACCUCUGAGACAAAAAUGAUUCUCAUAUCUACUCAAGACCUUUCAUGUUUGUUUGAGCUAAAAUAUUAAUAUUAUGAACAAUUUAAAUCUCUCCAGGAUCAAGUUAUUAUUAACAAAAUGACAAGGUAGCACAGGGAUUCAACGGUUAUUAGCAGUAUUUUUGAAAAGACACUAUCGUCAGUACUACAGAAAAGGAGAUUCUAUUUGACGUGGAGGAGGUGUUUCUUGAGUAAUUAGAGGUACCUUACAAUGCUUAUACAUUUGUGAUGGCUACUGCAAAGGCUCCGAAGCAUGACUUUGCACCCGCAUGGUUGAAGAUUCCAAAUGAGGAAUCUAAGCCAUCUGGUUCAAAGCAAGCUGAGCAUCAGUCCAGUAGCAGUAAUGGCAGUAAAUCUAGUCACGGGGGUUCAAGACGCGAAAAAUCGUACUCUGGUGGAAGUAACAAUCGACACCCAGGGCCUGACUAUGGUUAUUUGCCACGGCAACGCUCAUUUGACGCACCGUUUGAAGACCGGGGGAGAUAUAACAACACCAACAGUCGUUUCCGACAGCACAAUUCAGUAGAUGAUGAUUACUAUGGUUACUACAAUGGUUACUAUGGUAACAGUUACGGGUAUGAUGGAUAUGGCAGCCAUCACUACAGAUCUCAACCAAUAGGGCUCCCAGUAAGAGGCAUGGAUGGAGGCAAAUAUCAACACCCGCAUGCCAAUUAUCACCAUCAGGGUCCCCCUGGUCCACCAGGCUACCCUCCCUUCUAUGAUUACCCUCACGACUACCCCCCUCAUGACUAUCCCCCACACGACUACUAUUAUGGGGGUGAAUCAUUCUACAACUAUGGUAGACCUGGAGGGAAGAAAAACUACUAUGACAAGUCAGGGUCGGGGAAGACUGGAAAAGAUCGUGAAAUUAAAGAGAAAGCUGAUGGAGAAGCGGUUAAAUUGGAAGAGGAGUUUCCAUCAUUAAAUGGAGAAGAAGCCUCUGAAGAAAAGGCUGCCAAGGUGAAUGGUAAGAGUGUCUGGGAUAGUUGCAGCAGCAAAGUCAAACGUGGAACAUCUCUCUCACCAAAGAAUGAACAUAGCUCCCCUGUAUUGUUAAAGAAAGAACUGCCCAACAAAUCUCAAUCCAGUUCUAACAUGUAUAAAGCCUUGGUGCCUAAUAAGAUCCUCACUCGGAAGACAAGUCGUGAGACAAUGAAAGUAAAUGGUGUAUUUUCUGGUAAAGACAUCAACAGCAAUGGUACCCAUAAAUCUGCCAACAGCACUCCAACUCCAAGCAACAGUGGACAGUCCCCUACCGUUACCCCUGCCAUAGAGAUACUCAACGCUAGGCUCGUCACAAACCCAAAACCACUUGGUGACAAGAAGAGUGACUUCCUGGCAGCAUUCAAGAACAGCAAUAGUAAACACACAGAUGAUAUGUCUCUUCAAUCUGACCCAGCUUCUAAAAAGGGUGAGUGCAAUAAGGAAGACCACACAGUUGGAGAUUAUUCAGAAAAGCUGGUCAAUGGGGUGGAUAGUUUGUCAGUGAAACCAGAAUACCAUAUGCUCUCCAGCUCUCUAGAGGCUGAGCAGAGGUUGCUGCGUGAGAUGGGUUGGAAUGAAGCUGAUCAGGAAGAGUACGUGAUCACAGAAGAUGAAAUGAAGGAAUUCCAAAACCUCACAAAACAAAUCAAACAGCAGAAAAAUGGACUAAGUAAAAACCUAGCUAAGCCUUGGACCCCCCUUCAGCAACAAGCAACCGUUGACCCUGAGAAGAUAGAAACCAUUAAGAAUGAAGCCUUAAGUAGUGAUUCUGAUUCAGACAUGGACUGAAUAUAACCGAAUAUUGUGGCCCUUUGCUAUAGUAACAAGGAAAAAUAGGUUACCAAAGCAGCAAAUGUAGUGGCUAUAUUGUUUUUUAUAAUCCUUCCAGCAAGCAACAUUGCUGUUCAAACCAUAUGUUUUUCUGUAUUUUUGAAGUAUUUUUUCAUUAUAAUGACAGGUUUAAUUUGUGCGCUACAUAGUGACAUUAUUUCAGUGCAUAGCUGACAGUGAUCAUCUAUGCUUAUUAUUGGAUGCAACAUUUGUGAGGGAUUAAGUGUUAGGUGGAAGUUUAUUUGUGAUUUGUAUAUUGAAAUACACAAGUAAUAUUGUAUACAAACUUUUGAUUAUCAUAUGUUAGUAUCUCUAUAUAUGUGAGCACUUGAUAUGAACCAUGCAUGAGCACAUGUUCCAUAAAGAAACACUCAAAUUGUUGAAUUCAGUGAUUAACAAGCCAAACAUAUGAUAUAUGAAUGUUGUACUGAGGGAAGGUGAUUAUGUUAUAGACCAUAAAUGAUACGGGACACUUGAUUCAACAUGUUCAAAAUUGAAGGCAAGAUGAAUACAUAAUUCUGUACAAUUUAAUUCCUUCAUUUUUCUUUUGCUCAAUAUAUCUUUUAAUGAUCAUACCUUUGAUACAAAGGUAACAUUUGGCCCAUAUAUAUAUCCCAUAUACAAAAUACAAAAAUUGAUCAAGACAUGCUCCUCCAGAUCAAUC